GGUGGUUCAACGGCAGAUACGGCCUCACGGUAGGGAUACCCGUGAGCGCCACAGUCCUAGGAGGUCUGGUGAUGUACGGCGUCGUGGUAGAUCCCGGUCGCCUAAAGAGAGAGUGCGGCAUCGUCAGGAAAGGCGUUCUCCUACAUGGGGAAGGUUGGAAAGAACUGCGGAAAGGAAUGGGAGGAGGAGAAGAUCUAGGUCAUCUUCGCACAGACGGAGGGCGCAGAGGACUCGGGAACAUGUAAUUAGGCCUCAACCAGCGGUGAUUGGAGCAGAACAGGCGAGGGAAUCUGGAGCAGCUCAGCCAGCUACGGCGCCCAGGCCCACAGUGGGAAAGGUUCUGGGAAGUGGCUCCAGAUGCGGAGAAGGAGG